UACGUAGGGGCCUAGCGUUGUCCGGAUUUAUUGGGCGUAAAGGGCUCGUAGGCGGUCUGUUGCGUCAGGAGUGAAAACUCGGGGCUUAACCCCGAGCCUGCUUCUGAUACGGGCAGACUAGAGGUAUGCAGGGGAGAACGGAAUUCCUGGUGUAGCGGUGAAAUGCGCAGAUAUCGGGAGGAACACCUGCGGUGUAGACGGCUUACUGGACCAUAACUGACGCUGAGGCACGAAAGCGUGGUAGCAACAGG
rnacentral:rRNA from 1 species